UACUGAACCUGCCUGUGCUCCGGCUUUCAGUCAUCUGUAAGCUGGGGUAAUAAAAUUAUACAGCUGUAGAAAUCAAAUGGAUUCACAUCAAGGGCUUGGGACAAGGUGUAGGUCUACAAAGGCUACCUCCAUUACUCUGCCACUCUUAGAUUAAGUAACUAAAGCUGCAGUCUAUCAUCUACAUCAGCACACACUUAUAAACACACCCGCACCGACUCGGAAACAUACAUACCACACUCACAGUGCCCCCUCCCCAUAAAAGGGGGGUGUGUAUUUAGAUGGCAUUUCAGUUUUUGUUCCCCCUCCCAACCCUGACCGUUCUCCACCACCUCACCCGGUGUUAGGGGUCAAACCCAGGACUUUGGCAGUGGUUUAACCUCGGCAUAUCCUUUUAACACUUAAUUUUAUUUGUUUUUUUAGAUUGAAUCUUGCUAAGGUUCUAAGAAUAGUCUUAAGUUCUGUAGCCCAGGCUAGCCUUCAGCAUCUCAGUUAGCUAGGAUUACCGGUAUGUAUCUAGCUUGGCUGCUCAUACUUUUUUUAUUUUUAAAAAACCAUUGUACAUUCUAUUUGUGAAUAGAAUACCUAAGUGGUGAGUAGCCUCUGGUUAGGACAUGAUUUUGACAUAGAGUGGGAGGCAGAGAGUUGGGAGUCUCAGCUUCUUCCAGACUAGAUAACUGGAGGUUUCUGCCUCUCCCAUUUUUUCCUUUAGGGCUUUGAGUUGUUUCCUGUGAAACACUGAGUUUCAUUGAACAGAUCUCUGGCUCUUUGUAAUUCUACAGUUCUUCUGUGUUCUGACUCGCUGGUAUCUUUGGUCUAGUUUCUUAGGUUUUCUAGGUCUCAAUUUCCCAUCUGUAAAGGGAGAGUAACAGAGGGCUUAGGGUUUUUGGAGUAAAUAAAAUGCCGGCAAAUCAAACCAGGCAGCACAGCCAAGGCUGGGUAAGUCAGUGACCACCUUAUUUGUGGCGAUUUGGUAUCUUGAUGUUCUUCCAAAACAAAAUUUGUAGUUUUUCCUCAAUCCAUAAUGUAGUCCAUUAUUUUCAGGCUUCGCCCUUUCCACCUACACCAGGAGGUACUUAGACGGUGAUCUGGUCAGUUGUCAGAAUUGUGUGAAGUCUCAUCUUGGAUUCAUGCCGCUCUUCUGGCUGACACCAGGCUUCAGCCUUUCUCUUCCUCCAGCGUGAGAUUUUUGGAGGAAGCUUUAAUUCUUUGAGGUCCGUUGUUCCAAUAGUUGGAUGGCACAAAAGUUACUCUCUCUGCUCUCCUGUCCACAUAGUUUUAGCAAUAUGUGUCUAGCAUUUUCCAGGCCCUGGGUUCAGUUCUCAGUUACAGAAAACCAAGACAUGGACAACAACACAAAAAUUGUAAUCAUUAAGUUUUGGGGGUUAAUGGUUCUUUGGCAGCUCUGAGAAGAGGCUGUCUGUGUUCCCAUGGAUUUAAAGACAUAUGUUACCCCGUUGCUGUUCUUUUAGAAUCCUAACUUUUUACUUAAUCUGUUGGUCAGAUUUUUGAGCUGUUUAGGGGUUUGGUGGUCUCAGGUUGUAGCCCAGGCUAGCUUGGAUGGAACUUGAGGUUGUCUUGCCUCAGCCCCAUGAGUGUUUUGAUUACAGGCUUGUGCUCAGCUUGUGUUUCUUAGUCUUGUUUUUCUUGUUUGUUUGUUUGUUUUCCUUUGAGACAGGGUUUCUCUGUGAAGCCCUGGCUAUCCUGGCACUUACUCUGUAGACCAGGCUGGCCUCAAACUCAGAGAUCCGCCUGUCUCUGCCUCCCAAAUGCUGGGAUUAAAGGCGUACAUCACCACUGCCCAGCUUGUUUCUUAUUCUUGAACAUUCAUCUUAAGAUCUUGUUAGCUAGGACAGCUGCCUCAAAAAUUGUUUCUUCCUAGAUGUUGCCUUUUGAGGAAGGCAUUUUCCAUGUCCUAUCCUAGAUAGAUUUGGAGUCCUGUUUUUGUGUCAGUAAUUACUUGAUCCACGUUCCAAGGCUGGGCCUUUAACAUCAAUGCUGUUCUCUUGCUGCAUCUUGGAGACACUGUAGUUAGAAGUUAGACACCGAAGAGCAGGUGAGAUGGCUCAGUGAGGAAAGGCCUGCCUAUCUCUGGAACCCACAUAAUGGAAGGAGAGAACCAACCCUUGAUCAUUGUCCUCUUAACCUGUGUGUGCUAAUUUGAUUUUUUUUUUCCUUUAAAGAUAAGGUCUCUGUGUAGCCCUGGCUAUCCUGGAACUCACUAUCUAGACCAGGCUGGCUUUGAACUCUCAGAGAUCAGCCUGCCUCCCAAGUGCUGGGAUUAAAGAUGUGUACCAUUACACCCAGCCAACUUUUAAGAUUUUAAACUUUAUGUAAUUAACUAUUUUGAGAUAGGCUCUUACAGCCUGGGCUGGUCUCAGACUUGCUGUCUGUCUGAGGAGGACUUUGAACUUGUGCUGCAUUCCCCUCCAGUGUGCACCAGCAUGGCAGUGUCUUCUUAGUGAGUGCACUGUAUUUGGUGGUUAGAGGACAAUUGAUACCUACUUACUUGAUUACCUAUAUGUUUACCUAUAGGCUCAACAAUCCUGUAGAAAUUUGAAGGUACAUUUUGAGCAUCAUGGGAAUGGCACAUGUACAAGGCUAUGAUAGGUGCAGUCAAUUGCACGAAUUGGAAACCACCUACACAGAGGAACAAUGGACUAAACAGUGAUGUGUUCCCCAGGGAAACACAGCUACAAGAAUGAUUGAGAGCGGUCCCAGUGAACUGUGGGGUGUUUCCUCAACAUAGAUUAAGAGGCAGCGUGGUAGAACACACUGUUAAUCCUAGCACUUGAGAGGCAGAGGCAUAGGCAGUUAGAUCUCUGUGAGUUUGAGGUUAGUCUGGUCUGUAUAGUGAGUUCUAGGUCAGCUAGGGCUACUACAUAAGGAGAUCAUGAUUCCCUGUGAGCCCCCCCCCCCAACCUUCCCCUUAUGACAUGGGGCUGGGAUCACUCAGUGGUUAAGAGCAUUGGCUGCUCUUUCAUAGACCUAGAUUUAAGUCCUGGGACCCAUGUGGUGGCUCAUAACUGUCUGUAACUCCAGUUCCAGGAAGUCUGACUGCCUUCCUGGCCUUUCCAAGCACCGUGUAUGUAAUGGUGCACAGAUGUAUAUACAGGAAGAUACUGAUACACAUAAAAAAUUCAAAAAAAGUUCAGAAGUAACUCCUGCGGGCUGACGGGACAACAGCUCGGUAGGUAAAGCGUUUGUCAUGCACGUGUGUGGACAAACAUGUUGGUGGAUUCUGGGCAUCUGAGCCCUCAGGAGCAAGCUGCCUGGCUAGAGUAGAUGAAUCCCUGAGCUCUGGGUCGAAGGAAAAGACCCUGCCCCAAAGUAUAAGGAGGAGAGCGAUUAAGGAUUAAGCGAUUACUCACCUUCAGCCUCUGGCCUCCACACGUGGGUUAUGCACACUUCCACACUCUUGUGCACCUCCAUGCAUAUAUGUACAUUACAUACACAUUAAGAAAAAACCCUCCUGUUAUAUAAAUGAAGGAAAAACGCAGAAAAUAAAUUUGUAUUUGCUCGUGGGGACAAAACCAAAACAACACAGGGAUGCUUGAGAGACUGAUGAGGGAGGAGGGAUGAACUGGAAGUGGUGGUGGGAACAGGGACAGGGACCCUUUUUGGAAUCAUGUUAAUGUUUUAUCCACUCGGUAUGUAAGUAGCAAAGAGUAAGUAAGGCAGUCAAGCAAUGAAGGAAAAGGGGCAUCUUGAGGGGUACAGCCAGGCGUGGGCAGUGUACACCUGUGAUCCCAGCACUUGGGAAGUAGAGCUAGGACGGUCUGCUGUCUACGGCCAGUGUGGGCUAUGUGAGAUCUUGUCCCAAGAAACAAAGACGAUGGGCUACAGAUAAACAAAUGAACUAAUUGGUCAGCAUAGCAACAAACAUUGAAAAGACCAGGGGAAAUGCUUCAGGUAACUUUUGAACCCAGUGUUUGGACUGUAUCCUCAGGUUAGAGAGGGACUUGAAGCAAACAUUGAACUCUGGUUGCUAGGCUCUGCCCCUCCCUACCCCUCCCUGUCUCCUUCAGCUUCUGCCCCCCUCCCUUUCCUCCCUCCCUCCUUUUCUUUCUCUCAUAGGCAUUGGUCUACAGUUUGUGGCACUUUUGAAUACUAAUAUUAGCAAAUAAGAAAAUGUAAUUUGGAAACUAGGGGCCAUUGUCUCACUGCUGGAGAGGAGGCUGUAGAAUCGGCAAGGGCAAAGGUUAGCCUGAACUCACAAGGUAAAAAGUUGACACAGAAAUGUGUAUGCAUCUGAGUCCCUUGCUGAGCACCUUUCCAGCUCCAUUGAGGGCUGUAGAAAUGGUGGACCACUAACAUCCAGAGUGCCAGAUGGAACUUCAGAGAGACAUCUGAUUCCAGGGCUGGGGUCAGAAAAUGCAAGGAGAGCUUGGAAUGUCCUGCAGUAUAAGGAAUUAUUCUAAAAAAAACCCCAAAAUGAUGAGAACUUCUCUGAGAAAGACAAGCAAGCCUGGAAGAAUUCCUCUGUGCUGAGUUGGGCACAGUUUAUCAUUAAAAUAGACAAGUGCUUAUUGUCUAUAAAGAAUCUAUGCGGUUAAUCCCAGCCCUGGAGAUUGGGAGGCUGCAGGAGGAUUGUGAGUUUGAGGCCAGAUUGAACUAUAUAGCAAGAUCUUGUCUCAACAAAGCACGAACUCGAUCUGUGGGUAAACUUGAUCAUGAUAAAUAAAUGAGCAGAAUUUUGACUAAUGAAUGAACACACAGGAAAUAGCAGAAUCAGAGAGAAAAUAACCAUUUGGCAACCAUAAUGAUUAAGCAAGAAUCAUAAAUGAGUAUUAAAACUAGUAAGCGAGGUGAUGGGUGUGGUGGGGCAUGCUAUUGAUCCAAGCUCUCGGGAGGCUGCAACUGGAGGGUCCUGAGUUCCCGGCUAGCAUGGGCUCUGUAGCGGAAGUAGCUGGCUUUUCUUCUCCUGCCAGUGUGUAUUUCUCAAACAGAGGAGGUACUUGGCUGAUCUCACUUUGAUACCCAAGUUUACUGGAAUCGGUGAAUCUCAGGGAGGUUUCCUGCCCCGCAGAUGACACUCCUACAGUCAGUCAGCCCUAGGGCGUCCGAGGGAGGUGCCCUGCCUCAGAGUCACCCCCCCCCCCCAGCCAGCUUCUUCAAUGUUGCUUGAGGUUAACAACAGUUUGUUUUAGAGGCUCAUAGCUUAACCAUGGAUUGCUUAUCCCGAGAAGCGUGUCGCUGGGUAGUUUUGUCUUGUGAACGCCAGGGAGUAAGCUGGCACCAAGAUGGCUAACAUAUCACUGGCUCUGCCACCUCCCUGGGACUGAUACCAUUUGGUUAUAGCAGUGAAGUCUAGUUAAAGAAUAGCUGGGCAUUGAACAUAACCAGACUGAGGCAUAAAGGAAACCAACCUUUUCUCUGUUUAAAGACACCUUUCCUAAGUUUGUAGUUGGUGUCUUGGCAUGAUGGCACAUAGAUGGCAGACAUACUGGAGAAGUAGCUGAGAGCGACAUAUUGAUCCGAAAGCAGGAGAGGGUGAGGGAGAUGGAGACAGAGGGAGAGACUGAGCCCACCCUUAGUGAUAAUACUUCCUUCAACAAGGCCAGAGCUAAAGCUAAUCAAACAUUCCACCAGCUAGAGACUAGACAUUCAAACGCAGCGUGAGCCUGUGUGGGCCACUCUUAUUCAAGCCACCACACAUCCACUCAGCAGGCUUUCAAGAAUACAGUAUGUUGAGGGAUGGAGAGAGAGAUGACUCAGUGGUCAUGAGCACUUGCCACUCUUGCAGAGGACCCUGGUUCUAGUCCCAGAAUUCACACUAGGAGGCUCACAACCACCUGUAACUCCAAUUCAGGGGUGGUGGGGUGUGUGUGUGUGUGUGUGUCUGUCUGUCUGUCUGUCUGUCUGUGUGUAUCCCAUGCCUCUUUUGGCCUCUGUGGGUAUUGCACAUAUGUUGUGGUACAUACACUCUAUAAGCGUCAAUAAAAGCAAAGAAUAUAUAGUAUAUGUUAUUAAUUAUGCUUAUCUUUUUUGUUAGUUUGUGAUUUUUUUGUUUUACUUGUUUGAUGUUUUCCUCCUACUCUCACUGCUGAGGCUAGAAAAUCAGGACCUCAGGUGUGAGAAACAGUGAGCUGCAUUGGUGUCCUUUCCCUUGCCCACUCAGCCACUCUUUUUUGGGGGGGGAAUCGUGCACUGAAUUACUUUCAGGCAAUUUUUGUUCCCUUCCCUUCUCCCUCUUACUCGCUUCGGGCUCCACUUGCUCAGACGCAAAGGUUUUUUGUUUUGUUUUGUUUUGUUUUUAAAUUCUUAUUACAGGUGGUUGUGAGCCAUCAUGUGGUUGCUGGGAUUUGAACUCAUGGCCUCUGGAAGAGCAGUCUGUGCUUUUAUCCGCUGAGCCAUCUCUCCAGCCCUUUUGGGCACUUUUUAAAAGAGCAUAUAUAGGCUUGUAUUUACUUUUGCAUGUCGAUGGUGAGCGCAGAUGUAUAGAAAUGGUGGAAAUCUUGUUUUCUUUGCUUUUAUCUGGCUCCCUCUCAUUUCUCUCCUGCAGAAGUAACUUUUCCCCAGUGUGCCUGGCCCACUUAUCAUUGCAGUGGAAACAUUUCUCAGGAUGCCACUACAAGUUUUUCUUUGUUCCUAGCUUGCCUGGGAAAGUGGCGACGAGAUACUCUUAGGGCUGGGAAGGUUUUCAUCUCCAGUUUUGUGUUUAUCUUUUUCUGUUAUCUUCUGAAGUGCCAGGCGAUUCCUGCAUUCAUUGGCUGUGUAAUGUUCCUUCCAUACUGUUCUAAGUAACUCCAUUCUAGGAAGUUCUGUUAGAUUUGCCUUUGUGGCUGGCAUUUUCUGGAUGUCUAGCGUUAUUAUCUGAAGCAGGGUUAAUGUCUUUUGAUAGCUCAGACUGAUUUAAAUGGUGGCAGUAUUUUCUUAAGACCACAAAAUUGGUAUUUUUUUUUCCAAAUCUUGAUACUAUUUAAUGAAACCAUUUCUUCUAGGGUGGUUAUUAUUUUUGCCUUUGUGGAGAAGAAUGUAUUCUUCUUUAUUUAUGUAGAAGCAUUCAUGAUGUUGGAAGUCAAGAACUGAUUUGUGCCGAGAGACACUGCUGUAGGAUUCUGAACCUUUCAUAAAUUUGAUACAAAAGGGCUAGUUGACCUUCAGGGUUUUUCAAGGCAGGGUUUCUCUGUGUAGCCCUGGCUGUCCUGGAACUCACUCUGUAGACCAGGCUGGCCUCGAACUCAGAAAUCCGCCUGCCUCUGCCUCCCAAGUGUUGAGACUAAAGGCGUGCACCACCACCGCCCAGCAAUAUUUUUAUUUUUUUUUUUGCAUUUUUAGAAUAUCAAGAUGAUUUCAACAUGAGAAAUUCAGUGUAGUUACUAUGCCUGAACUUUUGGCAGAGCGUUAUGAUUUUUAGAGAGAGGGUAUAGGGUUUUCAGUUGAGAUUUUUUUUUUUUAAUUGCUGGAAUUGAACCCAGGGACUUGCCCAUGCUAUGCAAAUGCUCUACUACUGAGCUACAAUGCCAGCCCAGCUUUCAAGUUUUAGAUCCUUCACUGUUCAUCUUUCAGCACUGGAGCAUGUAGAAAGAGGUUGGGGAGGUGUGUGUGUGUGUGUGUGUGUGUGUGUGUGUGCCUGUGUGCCACAAUAUUGAACAUUGUUAUCUUGUUUAUGAUUUCAUCUAUAGACUCUUGCUGGUUUUCAUUAUUCCAAAAUCAGGUAAAUGAAUACUUGUUUCUCACUAUGGUGUUUUUUCCAUGAACUAUAUAUUUUUUUUAGAUAGUGUUUAGUACUUACUGUUAGGACAUUUGUAAUUUUAUUUUGGGUAUCCUCUUUAUUCUUUUGGAUUUCUUUUUAUUGCCUAUUUUUUAUAUUGUGUGUGUGCGUGCGCGCGUGCACAGGCACCCAUGGAGGCUGACUGAGGGCGUUGGAUCCUCUAGAGCUGGAGUUAUAGAUGGUUAUGUGCUGCCAGAGGUGGGUGGGUACUGGGAACGGAACUUGGGUCCUCCAUAGGAACAACAUGUGCUCUUAAUUGCUGAGCUGUCUCUCUAAUCCCCGUCAUCUUAAGUUUUAUGUAACUUAUGUUUGGAGAAAGGUUGAGUGGGUCCUUUUGAUUGUGGGUCAAAGGUCAAAGGAAAGGACCUGUAGAUUUUCUGUGUCUUAGAACAGUAAGGACUUUUACAUUUUGGUGGUUUUGGGGAUUAAACUAAGAGCUUUGUCCCUGUUAUGACUAAGCUACAUCCUCCGAGGCAGCACUAAUGAUGGAUUAUUGUUAUGUGAGCCCAGGUCUUCCAGUUGUCACCCAGUCUGACCUCUACAUUGAGAUAACUUAAGUCUCCAAUAGCCAAGAGUGCAGGCAUGUGCUGCUGUUCUGGCAAGAUUAAGAAUUUCAUUAUUUUCUUCUGUGUUUUGAGAUGGAGUUGUACUCUGUAGCCUAGCCUGAAACCCUGAUUUUAUUUCUCUGGCACUGAGGAUAUCGGUGUAGAGACGGUUUCAGAAGUAGAGGCUGACUCCCCUCAGCCUUUGCUGUUGUCCUAGGUAGAAAGUUGUUUUCAUCUGGACCGAGCUGCUUGUGAAUCAUGUUUAGAUGCUGCGUCCGCAUCCCCACGAGUACUUCAGACUAGACAUUGCUUUCAGCUCCAUUCACCUUGACACUAUUUUUGACCCUGUUUGCUGGCACAGAAGCAAGUGUGUCAAUGAAUACUUUGUGUCUUUAUCUUGACAUCAGACUUGUAUUUGCUUGUGCCUCAUAUUGGGCUAACUGGAUUCAGAGACUCACAGGCCAGGAACACCUUUGCUGUACGUAGCUAAGAGGAGCCAAAUAUCCGUUAAUGUUUCUUAACUGUUAGCAUUGGGUCUUGAAUAAAACUUAAUCGGAAAUCAAAGAGCUCUUAGGAGCAGGCAUGACGGCCCCCACUUGUACUCUACUGGGGAGAUGGAGGCUGGAGGAUCAAAGUUCAAGGUCGCUCUUGGCUGUAUGGGGAGUUUGAGUCCAGCUUGCACUGUAUGAAACUCUGUUUCAAAACAAGGUCUUAGGAAGAAAUGAGUUGUGUCUAUUUAUGUCCCCCUAGCAGCUGAUACUGAAGAGGGCAAAGAGCCAGCUUUCCUUUCGGAUUUCAGAGUUUCUCUGUAGUGAGAAGAUCAUAUAUGAUACGUGCGGAUUUGAAUCUUGAGGUUUUGUUUCAGCAGGGCUGGAGGAGGCGGUAUAGUGGGUAAAGUGUUUGCUAUAUAUGCCUGAGGUUUGGCUCUCCAGAAUGCAUAUAAAAGCCAGACACAAUAGUGUACACUUUUAAACUAGCUGGUGGACAGAGACAGAUAGAUCCCAGGGGCUUGUUGGCUAGCUGUGUAGACAAAAGGGCAUGCUUCAGGUUCAGAGAGAUAAAAAAAAUGUGUCGACAAUAUGGCUCUGGGGUAACUGUGCCUGCUGCCCAGCCUGAUGAGACUUGAGUUCAAUCAGAGACCCAUAUGGUAGACGACAUGUCCUCUGACCUCCAGCGAAACUCUGUAUGUGUACAUGCACGUGCACACGUACAUACACACAUAAGUACGUUAUGGUAGUGGAUCCACACAUAGUCUUCUUUAGCCCAAAUGGUCUUUGGACAAGAUAGUCUUAUAUAUCUUAAUUUCUCUGGAAAUUCUGAUUUGAGCGAUGCGAGAGAGCCUUGAGAGAAAGGAGUUGGAAAGUUGCUACUUUUGCCUUAUUUCUUGGUGGGUUUUUCUCCUAAUGCCUUAUUUUGGGUUCCAUCAUGGCGUGUGGCUGAGACUAGAACAGUCAGCCGUGGCUGGAAGGAGAGGAUCUUUGAGUGGGUAGUCACGUCCAACUUCAAGGAAGGUUUGUGACAGGGCAGAAUGUUGAUGGCUCAGAAAUGACGGAGACAGACGUGACUGUGCAGUUUGUGAUUUCAGGUCUUUUGCUUCUGAAAUGAAGAAGUGGCAGCUAGCUGAGGUAGGAGUUUGCGUUAAACUUUCUGUGAGCAUUUUUGUACAUGUACACACAGGCUUGUCUUCAACUCGAGUGGGUUUAUCCUUAGAGGGUGCCUGUCAUCAUGGCACUUGCCUGUGUGAUCCUAGCUGAGGCAGAAGGAUCACCAGGAGUUUAGGCUGGCCUGGGCUACAGAUGAGACUCUUAACUGAGGGAGAAGUUUGUGGGGUUUUGAAAUAAAGAACAUAGAAACAGAAUUUAAAGCGGAGGUUGGUUUUGUUUGUUUGUUUUGUUUUUGUUUAUUUGUUUUGAGAUAGGGUGUCUCUGUCUAGCCUUCGCUGUCCUGGAACCUGCUCUGUAUAUAAGGCUGGCCUCGAACUCAGACUGGACUGUCUCUGCCUCCCAAGUGCUUUGCUUAAAGACGUUAAGAACAGGGUGGGAAUGGUGAGGGCUGUGUUUGAGUAGUUCAGAGUUCACCACAUCUUGAGUCUUGGAGUUCCUUACCAUUGUGAAGUCGGGGAGGUUCUGUGGUCAUCCGCUCAUUAAUCAAACCCUUUUAUUUAUGUGUGAGAUUGGCUCUCCCAGUGCUUGUUGCCUUGACUGCUUUUGGAGCACAGACCCCAGCUGUCCUGCCUCCGCCUGCCGAGCACCUGGGCCUGUGGCCGAUGACAGCACACACUGCUUGAGUAGGUAUGAAAAUAGGGCAGGCACCUCUGCCGACUGUGAUUGGGCUGCACAUCUCCGUUUUCAGUUUUAACCGUGGAGGCUCCCGUGGUCUUCUUGCAGUCUGUGAUGUGCCUGCUUCAGGCUUCUCUGUGGCGCAGGGUUUCAGGAAGCAGCGUUAGGCAGAUGAAGCUGUCUGACGCGGGUUACUUGAGUCUCUGGUUUUGGAUGGACAGUGCGUGGUGCACAGCUGCUGCUCCAGCGGCUUUGUCCCAGCUGUCCUCUCUGCCUGUCGCAGAAUACUCCACAUUCCUUUCCCUACCCUCCUGUCAUACUCUAGACUAUUACUUAAGCGGAUCCCCGCGAUCGUUACAUUGGAUGACUUCUCCACCACUAAUCACUGUUUGCUUAGACCGGUCCCGGUAUGUGUUGUGUAACAGAUUCAAGCCCUGCGGUCUUUGUAAUUUUGGGUUAUGAGUUAAUGUUACGGUUGUGAAAUAUUGAUAUACAACCAUUAAGUGAUUGCCAUUGAAGAGGGUAACAAACUUGAUGAUAUCCCAAGCAAGUAGCUGGUAUCUGGGUAGUGGCCCUGCAUCCUCUCAUUUAUUAACUUACCUGUGUUAGUAGGUUUCAAUAAAAGUGUAAAAGGAAAAGCCAUAUAAUACUCCAUUGUUAUAUGUUGUGAUACGUUUUUUUACUAUGUAGCCCUGGUUGGCCUGCAGCUUGCUAUGUAGACUAGGCUGUGUGGAACCCUUGUAGAUAACGUCUGCCUGCCUCUGCCUCUUGAGUGCUGGGGUAGAAGAUGUGUGUCACCAAGCCUGGCUGCAUGUAUGUUACAGGAGUUGCCUUACUUGAUCUGUAAUUACUUUAUCAUUUCCGUUUCAUAUCGGGGGAAACCCACACUCAGUUGUUUAGUACUUGCUCAAAAUCCUGCAGUGGCAACAGAUUUGAUUUGAAUUCACAUUUUCUGAUGUUGAAGCCAGUGUAGAGUUGGCUAAUCCUGACAUUUCAGUGUCACUGUGCAUGUAUUUCUGUCUUUUUACAAAAGGGGCCGCUGCCGGGCAGUGGUGGCACACGCCUUUGGUCCCAGCACUUGGGAGGCAGAGGCAGGUGGAUUUCUGAGUUCGAGGCCAGGCUGGUCUACAGAGUGAGUUCCAGGACAGCCAGGGCUACACAGAGGAACCCUGACUUGAAAAACCAAAGGAAGAAAAAAAAAAAAACAAACCAAAACAAAAGGGGCCACUUAUUUAAUAACUGCAGAGCGGGGCUUGAAUGGGAAGCACAGUGCUUUUUCCGGCAUCCCUCCUCCAGUCCUUUGAUCUGUGAUCCGUGUUGCUGGAUCUACACAUGGUUCUCAGGCUACUGCCUGCUCUCAGCUGGGCAGCCACAGUGUAGUCAUCAAAACUCGCCCCUGGCUCACACCUAAGAGAAGGACUGCUCUCCUGGGGUAUUAAUUACUUGCCUGUGUGACCCUCUUCCUUCCCCCAGCCCUUCUACUCUGUUUACACUCUUAGUUUGUUUUUUAUUUUUAUUUUUUGAGACAGGAUCUCUGUUAUGAGAUCUGGAAAUCACUUUGUAGAGCAGGCUGGCCUUGAACUCACCCAGAUCCACCUGUUUCUGCUUCCCAAGUGCUGGGAUUAAAGGUAUGAGCUAUCAUCAUGUCUGGCCUUAAAACUCUCACUUUGAGAAAAGGUCUCACGCAGCACAGUCAUAUACAAGACACUUGUGAAGCUGGAGUUGUUGUUGUUUUGUUUUGUUUUGCUUUUUUUUCUGAGACAGGAUUUCUUUGUGUAGCCUUGGCUGUCCUGGAACUCUGUAGACCAGGCUAGCUUCAAACUCAGAGAUCCACCUGCCUUUGCCUCCUAAGUGCUGGGAUUAGAGCUUUGUGCCACUGUCACCUGGUUCAAAGCUGGAUUCUUUACCAAAUUUUCUGUUAUUUCUGAGUUAUUUCUUAGUCAUCUUUUUGGCUCAGAUUUUCUUCUUAGUAGGACUUUUUUGAGGGAGUAUUCAGAUCAGGCCCUGGUCUCCUCCAGCUGCUUCUGUAGUAUCUUGGAGACUUUUUUUUUUGACCCCCCCCCCCCCCGCCCCAGUUGCUGUGCUCCAACCUUUCUGCAUGUAUGGGAGUUCAAUUGCUGAAACCCAGUGUGUGUCAUCUGAUGAGUUGCUCACAUACCACACUGUUGUUAUAAGAACCAGGAAAUCAUAGUCAUACUUAAUUUAAUUUACCUUGUUCUGACGUCCUUUCCGACCAGGAUUUAGCCAGGACUGCUGUUGCUUUUACCUUGUCAUGUAUUUUUAGUCUUCCAUUUGUUUGCAAGAGAUCCCACAUUUGGGUUUGUGUGAUAUGCAGUUACCAGAAUUAAAUGGUGUGUUUGGGGCAGCUAUGUCACACAGUGCUGUUCUGUCUUUAUCUAGCACAUCAUUGUGAAGAGGCUCGUGUUGUCUGCCUGUCCCAUUAUUGAUGGCAGGAGACCUCAGUGCUUAUUAAGCACUGAGAAAGUACUGUUGUUGCCUUUGUAAUAAGUAAACAACUGUGUGGCUAGGAGUACGGGAGACCAAUUCAAUGACUAAUGUUAUUUUAGCUGUUGGGUUGUGUCUUUCCUUUCUGCCCUCACGUCCCUCCCUGAUAGGACUACUGCCUCUACUUUACAUUUUAUGUCAUGAUAUUUCUCAUGUCUUCAAAAAUUUUAGGCCCAAAGUAAUUAUAUUUAAAAAGUAUUUCUUUUGUUUUUAAAUAUGUUGUCUGUGGAGGUCAGAGGUGUCAGAUCCCCCGGAGCUGGAGCUGCUUCAUGGGAACCUAACCCAGGUCCUCUGCAAGAACAAUGUGUCUUCUUCAACCCGAACCCUCUCUGUCCUCUGAGGACCUGAGAGGAGCACAGAUGGGUGCUCUGGGAGAGGAAAGCGUAGCUGAGGUCUCUCUGGAAGCACAUCCGUGUUCUACCAGCUCUGGUAAUGACAGUUACUGAUAAAGCUAGCUUAGGGCCAGCUCUGCUCUGAAAUGUAGCUUAAGACUGAGCCCUCUGUCCUGGGAAUGCCAGUGCUGUGUACAUGCACAAGUACCACACACCAGCUUCAGGCUAUUGUCACCUCCUGCCUGGGCGGGGAGAUGGUUACAGAGGUGACACCAGAGUCUUCAGUUGCUAGUGUUUAUGCACAAGUGUGCUGAUCAUCUUGCUUCUUGUUUACAGCAGUCUCUGAGUUAUUGUUAUACUGUAGUUAGUUAUAGCUAAGACAGACCAGGGAAUGUGUGUGCUCAGGCUUAACUAUGCAGUCAGAUGGAAACCUAGCUCUUGAUUUGAUGUUAACGGUAUCAUGGUUUGUUGACAAGGUAGAAAUGUGUUCUUUUGGGGGUUUCCUUAAGGGUGGGAAAUAAUUGACCCUCCAUGUUUACUCAAACAAUAAAUACAACUUGGUUAUGAUUCUUUUUGCAGUCAGAAGUUUCUAUUUGUGGGUAAAAUGUGUGUCUGCAAGCGUGUGUGCACACACUUGUACAGAAAGAUGUGUGUUGUGAUUUGCUUUUAAAAUGGCUUUAUAUGGUUUCUACAAAUUACUCUGAAUCUCUGUGUCUGAUUUAAUCUGGGUAGUUACUGGAACUGAUGAUUAAUUUGCCCCAAGUUUUCUGUUUGAGGAAUGAUGCUUUUAGCUUCUCAUAGCACGACUAUGUAUACAGAAUGCGUGUUCACAGAAUACGGCUUUAUGCAGGUGUGGAUCAAGAUGAAAAGAAAGUAGGGACUAUCCAAAUACUAAGCCUGGGUUCUGAGCUAUGCCUUUUACUACCUUGGCCAUGCAGUUCGCUCAUUUAUGAAAUGGGUAACUGGGCUAGGUGUGGUGGCAUGCAAGCUAGAGGCCAGCCGUGGCUGAACAGUGAGACCAUGUCUCAGAAAGGCUGAGGUGGUGGUGGUGGUGUGGUGGUGGUGGUGGUGUGGGGACCUGGGGGUGUAGCUCAGUUGGUAGAGUUCUGACCUAGCACACUAGUUCCUGGGUUGAUGGCUAGCACCAUAAACUGGCACCGUGCUCUCUGACCUCCACCAUGUAACAAAUUGGCAGGUAGCGUGGAAUACAAGAUCCUGUCUCAAAGAAGAGGGCGGUGGUGGUUGGAGUAGAGAAUGGGAAGCAGAGGGGAGGAUAACUUGAAUGGAGAACAUUUUCAUCAGGAGUUUAAAAAUUCCCUGGCAGUAUAGGAUUAUUUAUUUAGCAAAUGUGCUGCUUCCCCUUGUGAAUUGCUGAAAAAAAAAAAAUUCCAAUUGUAUGAACACACAGAGAUCGCCCUGCGUCUGCCUCCUGAGCGCUAGGAUAAAGGUGUGUGCCGAUGCUACAGGCUAGGUGAUUAUAAGGUUAGGAUAAAACAAACAAACAAACAAACAAACAAACAAAAUACUUGGCACUUGUUCUACAGAACUUGCUCUUAUUUGGAAAAGUCUGCUUUUUGGAGAGAUGGGGUAGGAGGAAUAUUAAGAUCUAUGUUUGUCACUUACCCAGAAUGCCUGGAGCAGAAGUGUUUGGGUGUCACCACUUCCCUCAGGUAUAGGUGAGCAUUCCCAAUUCAAAAAUUCAGAAUGCAUAUAAGCCGGGCAGUGGUGGCACACGCCUUUAAUCCCAGCACUCGGGAGGCAGAGGCAGGCGGAUUUCUGAGUUUGAGCCCAGCCUGGUUUACAGAGUGAGUUCCAGGACAGCCAGAGCUAUACAGAGAAACCCUGUCACCAAACCAAACAAAACAGAAUGCAUAUAAAUCCAGGCCUUUGCAAAUAUUCCAUGACGAAAGUUUUGGAUCUCAGCGAAUUUUGGACUUUAGGUUUCUAGACAUUAAGAAUAUUCUAGUUCUUAUAUGUAUUGUUGGGGACUGAAUUUGAGGUCACCACACUUGCUGGGUCCUAGAUAGGUGACCAUUACUGAUUUCCAUAUUAAAGAGGCUGGGGUUGUAGGCUGUACUACAAGUGUUUGCUUGGCAUGUAUGAAAACCCUGGGAUGUUUGAUUGACAGUAGGCAAAAAAAUUUCAUAAGAAAAAUACUGGUAAGAGCUGGGUUCAAUAGUUUACUGCUGCAUCUUAGUACUUGAACAUGCAUACAACUCCCUCCCCCACCACACCAAACAGAAAGAAACUAAUCAGUGCUCGGGGUAUAUGUAGUACUGGGUGGCAGAGUGUGUGCUUAGUCCUCAGCACCUAAAUAAACCAAACACUACAGCAGCAUGCAUUUAACAGGGAGUGGCUGGGACCUGGUGAGGGGCACAGGGAGUGAGGGAGGGUAAAGGCAGGGGAAAGAGGGCUAAAUGCUCUUCUGAGUUGAAGGUUUACAUUGUAAUUGUCCGCUGUUUUGGGAUAUGAUGACUAAGCAGUUAAAUCUCUGAAAAUCAGUGUGGUCUUUGGUCUGGGGUCCCAUUUGAUGCUUUGGUGUCUUUGAAGAAGGGUGUUACAAUGUAGUCUAGGUUGAACUCAGGCUCCUCUUGCCUCCUCCUCCCAAACUCAGGGAUCCCAGGCAUUAGCUACGGUGCCUGCUCUCUGUAAAUUUUUGAGAUCUGGAAACAGUGUUUCACUUCUGGCGUGGUUGGGUUUCCUAAGAUACUUAUUCUUUCACUGGUGUGAUCCCCAAAGCAGAGCCAUUCAUUUUGUCCUGUUGUAAAUAGAGCCACUAAACUGUUGUGAUGGAGUUGGUGACAUUGCUUAGUGGUAAAGUGCUUGUUUGUUGAAGACCGGAGUUUGAGCAUUGGAUCUCACAUAAAGGAGACAGAGUGAACUCCACAAAAUUGUCUUCUGACAGCCACAUGUUUGAGGAUGUGUAUAUACACAUGCACACACACAAUGACAGUGAUGAUGAUGAUGCAUGUUUUACACACACACACACACACACACACACGCACACACACACACACAGUGGUGGUGGUGGUGCUGCUGAAGAAUAUAGACAUUUAAAAAUCUUGAAAUGGAACACGUUUGGAAAAUGGGCUGUUGAAAGUGGCUGGCAGACUCACCCCUCCGUGUGUGUGUGUGUGUGUGUGUGUGAAGGAAUCUUUUGUCAAUCUGUUAAAUAAAGCCUAGGUGAUAACUCCUCAACAGGAGAUGCUGAAGAUAGAUAGAUUUAGGAUCUUUGUCAUGCUCAACAGACAUUCUACCACUGAACUAUGCUACUAUGCUCUCGCCACAGAAUACUCUUUUAAUUCUAUAUUAUAUGUACCUAAUUAUAAAGGGCAGCAAAUACAUCUAAAUACAGAUUUCAACUAAAAACAUCUUUUCUUUUUGAAACAAAGUCUUGUUGUGUAGACCAGGGUGGUUGCAAACGUGGAAUUCCCUUGCCUCAGAGAGCUGGGAUUACAAGUGUCUCCUAUUCACCCCAGAUCUGAUUUCUGUUGGUGGUGGUCAAAGGUGUUUCCGUCAUAGUUGUUGAGAGAAAUUCUGAACACAAUCACAGAUUUAAAACCCUGUUUUUUGAUAGUAAGAUUGAUCGUCACGUGAUUUGUGAAUCUUAUUCACUGUUGAUUGGAAUCUGUAUCAUUACGGCUCCGAGCCUUAGUUUCCAGAGCUGAGCAGAUUUAAAGGGUGAGUUGGCUUUGAUUAUUAUUAUUAUUUUAAUAAUCGUUGUUGUAUAUGCUGGCAGCACUUUUGCAGAGAGGGCUGACUUUGAAGUCUACUACAGGUUCCUGCAGAGACUCGGAAGCAGAAACGGCUAAUGCUGAUUGGUUGGCUGUUCAGUUAACUUUGCUUGUGAGGGUUAAGCUGGAGGGACCAUCUUCUUCAUUCAGCUUGCCUGUCCAGCUAUGGUGUUAUUUUUCUCUUCCUCUUGACUUCUUGGGAGGUCAGACAAUCAAUUGCAGCUUGGGAGUGUAAUUUUUCAGGCUGAGUAGCAGCAUUUUGGUUUUGUUGUAAGGCUUAGUGUAGAAACUUGGUCUAAACCAGUGGCUGCCUGUGAGUUCCAGUAAACUGAGACAUUGUUGAAAAUUCUCCCCAUUUUCUAAUCCCAAGAACUCAAAAAUCCUGGUUUUAAUGAGCUGGAUAGCGUUGAGUCUUCUUUCAGGGUUUAUUGGCAUGUAUAUCAUUCCCACUCCCAGUCUUAGUUUCCAGAGCUAUAAUAUGUGGUCAUGGUGCUUGAGGGUGUGGGCUUGUGGUGGACACCCACUUAGCUUCUUCUUUUCUACAUUUUUAUAUACACAGUACUGCAGUCUGCUAGUGUUCCUAUUUCAUCAACCUCCCUUCUCAUUUCUUUUUUAAAAUUAAAAAAAAUGUGUUUAUUAUGUAUAUGAGCAUUUUUGUCUACAUGUGUUUGUCGAUGCACCAUAUUCAUGUUAUGUUCUUAGAGGCCAGAAGAGGGGCAUCGGGUCCCUGGGGACUGGAGUUACAGAUGGUCGUGGGCUGCUAUGUUGGUGCUGGGAACCAAACUCAGGUCCUCUGUUAACAUGCUAACUACUAAGCCAUCUAUCUUUGCAGCUCCUGUAACUGACUUAUUAACUGACUGAGAAAACUGAGUGAAUACUUUUGAAAAUUACUAAAAAUACAAAAUGCUCACCUUACCAAAUAACACAGCCGAAGCAAUUCAGAAGACUGCCACGGGAGGCAAGGGCUUUCCCUGUUUUUUGUUUCUUGCUGCUGACAUGCUUAUCAUGAUAAGUAGUAGUAACUGGACAGUCGAUGGCACACCCAUUAUAGAUGUGUUAUAUGAGUUUUGACAAACGAGUGCAAUGUUCUAGCACUCCAAGGUCACUCUGCCCCGACAGCAGCCUCCACAGGUAACCACCUGACUUUGAUCAGCCUUUAGUUAGACAUACUUUCCUUUUUUUAUUUAAUUAGUUAAUUUAUUAAUUGUGUAUAUGUCCAUGUGGAGGCCAGGGGUUGCCUUGAUAUUUUCUUCAAACACCGUACCGUGUUUGUUAUUAGUUAUUAUAUGUGUAGGUGUGCAUUGUGCAUUGCGCUUGGAGGUCAGAGGACAGCUUUGUGACGUUCCAUCCACUUCUGUAUGCAUUCUGGGAUCAGUGGGGAUCAGUCUCAGGAACCGAAGUAUCUUUACCCCCUGAGCUGUCUCGCUGGCCUUAGUUUGGAAAGAUACCUUUCACUGAUUCGGGAGCUCGCCUAUUUGGCUAGGCUAGCUGGCCAGCAAGGUCCAGGGGUCCCCAGGACCUGGAUUGUAGAUGUGCAACUAUGUGCGGGCACUUUACCCAGCGACCGGCUCCCAGCCCUUGGCUUGUUUUCAGUCUUGACAUGAUAUGACUGCAGUGUAUUCUUUUGUGGGUGGCAUGUUUGCUUUGUGAUUCCUCCAUGAUGUUGACUCUUUUGGUAGUUUGUUCCUUAUUUGGUAGUAACUCGUGUCUGCUUGUCGAUGGAACAUUUAGGUUGUUUCUAGUGUUUAGAAACUGUGAAUAAAGUCUCUUUGGAGGUUGACACACUUGGGUCAGAGACUAAGUGCAUCAUUUUGGAAAGCAGCUUGGCAGUGUCCCAUAAGGCUGAUACCACUUACAGCUACAGCCUGUCUGGAGGACUCCGGUGGCCCUGAAUCCACUUGCUAGUUAGCUGAUCUCCUGAGUGUAUAGAGCUACCUAUCUUACCGUGGUUUUGAUUUGCUUCUUCCUAAUGACUAGUGGUUUCAACUGCACAGUGGCUAAUUGUAGCUUCUUUGUUAUCUUCUCAGAUCUUUUGUGGUUUGCAAAUUAGAUUCUUUAUGUAAAUGAAUUCUAUAGAUCUUUCUUUUUUAAAGAUAGGGUCUCAUAUGUAGUCUCUGGCUGUGAAUGCAGCCUUGUAGCUAAGGAUAACGGCGCUCUUCAUCCUCUAGUGCCUCUACCUUCAGGUGCUGGCAUCACAGCACCUGUUUGUCCUUGUGUCCUGGAUUGCUCUGGCUGGAAAGUCCUCCACACCCUUCUGUUGCUGGGAUCAAACCUGGGACAAGUGCUGGGGCUAAUCUGAACUAGUCCUGGCGAUGUUAAAACAGUUAAAUCAGAAUGGAAACAGCAGAUGGUCUCAUUUUGUUACCAUUUAUUUUCCUUGCCAUCAGACAUAAUUCUUCAAAAAAUACUUUUUGGUCGAGUUCUGUGAAUAUCUUGUUAAUGCUUUUAAUUUAAUGUUUGUAACAGUAUAGUUUUGUCAGAUGUUCUUUUGGAGCAUAUUUAUUUAAUGUUCACUCAUUCAUUUAAUAUUUAACAUUCAUUCAUUCAUUCAUUCAUUCAGUUAUGAGGCAGAGUCUUCGGUAACUCCCGCUUGACCUCCAGCCUGAUUAUGUGCUGAGGGUAACUGACUCCUGAUUCUCAUGCCCCGUGCCUGCUGUGCUUAUUGCUGACACGUUUCUGCUUGUUGCCAGUGUGGUCCUACUCUGGUACAUCUCCACGCCCUUUUGUUGUUAGCCUCUUUCCAGGGAGCUGCUUGGCUUCAUCUCAGUCACCAUUGGGUGCAGGCAGCCUCUGUUUUUCUCUUCAUGCACCCCCAGGUCUGACUGGGGUUUGAGGCCUUAUUUUUCCAGUGACUGAGCAGAGGCACUUAUUUGUCUUCAGUUCCCAGAGCAUAGGAAAGGAUAAAUAAAUCAUUUUCAUCCAUGACACGUGUCUCUGGUAAAUUGUGGUACGCAAUGGGAUGGCUCCUGGAAGACAUCUUGGAACUGACCAGCAUUCUGUAUGCGAGAGUUUCCUUUUCUUGUGGAGAGCUUGGCUCAUAGAGGAAACUUCUUGCUGUCGUAUUGCAUUUCAGGGAUGCUUGUUGUCAUGAUUCUAAUAGCAGUUUUACAAAUGGCUUGACUUCCAAGUGCAAUCGAGUGAGUUCAUAUGGUAGCUGCUUAUGCUUGGUAAACUUUUUUUAGUUAAAAUUUCAAAGAUGUGUUUAUUUAGCCUCUGCCUCUCUCUCUCUCUCUCUCUCUCUCUCUCUCUCUCUCUCUCUCUCUUUCUGUGUGUGUGUUUGUGUGCGCAUGAGUGUGCAAGCUUGUCUUCAAGAGAACACAUGGAAGUGGGGAGAGUCUGUGAGAGAUUUUUCCUUUCCCUUUUCCUUUUCCUUUUCCUUUUCCCUUUCCUUUCCUCACUCCUAUGGGGUCAUUUUAGGCAGUCAGAGGAAAAGAGAGGAAAGGAGGGAGGCAGAGAAAGAGAAAGGGGGAAUAUACCAACAUAGUUUAUUAGUAAAUUGACUGCUUUAAGCACUCAGAAGGAAGCAUGAGUUGUUUUCCCCCUCCCAGUGCAGUAGAGUGAGUGAGUGAGUGAGUGAGUGAGUGAGUGGCAAGACUGUUUUUUCCCCUUUGACUCUGUGGAUACCUAUUUUAUUUUGCAUUUUUGGGUGGGACUUACAGCCCUUGUUUUGAGAUCCAACCACCAGCUGGGCUAUUUUUGUUUUUACAUGCUACUUUGAGUACAUCAGUAACUGUUUCUUCUGUAAUGAAAUUCGUGCGUGCAUGCAUAUCUUAAAACCUCACUAUUGUUUUGACCUAAUUUGAUUUGUGCAAUUUCUGUUUCAUCUCUUUCUGUCUGUGUCUGUCAUCUGUAUGUUUGUGUGGGUGUGUGAUAUACGCUUGUGUGUGAAGGUGCGCGUCUGCUGUGGUGCUUGUGUGACAGGUUGAGAUGGCUAUUUUUCUUCCCUUUAGAACGGCGAGUGAGCCUCUGUCCUCUUGUCUGUGCCCCUAGAUCCGACACUUUAAUCUGAGACACUACCCAGCCUGUGAAUUUUUCUUUUUUUAAAUAAGUGCAUUUUAUACACCUGAAUUGAGUAGCAAGAUCAUAAUGGGUUUUCAGUGUUUAGCUUGUAGGACUGCAAGUGGUGGACAGGCUGGCAUAAGAGUUCCAGUUGUUGAUGAUACAGACUUUUGUGCACUUUGUUCUUAGUGGCACUGUGUCCUCUGUGGGAUUGCAUGCUUGGAAUAAAGGUGUAGAGUGUUUAUCCCUUAAAAUUAUUCUUUGACUGUUACACAGGGUUUACUGAGCCAAUGUCAGAACUGUGAAGGUUGAAUUUUUUUUUUAAACAGUAUUGUCUGUUCUCACACAUUAGCCCCCAAAAGGAACAGGUUCCUUGAGACGUUUUAUUGUGGUAAUUUAUGUAGUAGAGUUUAAUCUGACGUGUGUAACUCUUUUUUUGUUGGUUUGUUUUUGCUCCCCCCCUCCCCCCCCCCCCCCCAGCCCUGGCUGUCCUGGAACUCACUCUGUAGACCAGGCUGGCCUCGAACUCAGAAAUUCGCCCACCUCUGCCUCCCAAGUGCUGGGAUUAAAGGCGUGUGCCACCACACCUGGCUUGUGUGUAACUCUUUUUAAACAGAUGUGGAGACAGUGACAUACUUCCUGGAAGAGAAACUGAAGUAAAAUGCUGGGGACAGGGAUGUAGCUUAGAGGGAAGGAAGGAAGGUGGCUUUCCCUGAGGUGGGAAGCCUUGGACCCUGCCCUAUCCAGCAGUCAGCCUCCUCCAACUCCCACGUUCUCCAAACCCAACCCAAAAUUACAAUAUACAGAGGGCUAAAAAUCAUAAUGAUAUCACUGAGAACAUUUUAAAGUUACAUUUAUUUAUGUACAUGUGUAUGUACGUGUGUCAGAGAGCUCAGAGGACAAUCCCUGGGAGUUGAUUCCCUUUUUUUAUUUUUUUGCCAUGUGGGAACCUGGGAUAGACUUCAGGUUGCCAGGCUGAGCCAUCUUUUCCUGCGUUUUUUUAAUAGCUUCAAUUUAGAAGCUGGAUAAUAGUCCAGUUACUUAAUGUGUUAAGUUGCCACUUUCCAGUUUGAUGCAAAUUCAGCAUUAGGUGUAUUUGUGGGAUUUUGGAUUUGUUGCUAUUGUGUGGAAGCCUUUCCUACCACUGCUGAUCCCAUACUGUGGGAUAAUGAGGUUGCUCAAGAAAAGAAAGCCCAAUUCACUUAAAGAGUUUGGAUAUUUGAGUGGUUUCAGGAAUUUAAAAAUUUUCAAUUUGAGGAAGUUAAUGAGAAAAGCCUUGCUCAAAAUAGAACUAAUUGUUGCCCUCUCUCAAGUCCUCACUUGUCCCCAGAGCUGGGCAGUGUGGUAGGGGAAAUAGUCUAAUGUUUUAUACAAAAUUAUACGUUUUUAUAAACUAGAAGAUAAAAUGAAGAGGAUGUAUUUGUACAACAUCAAACAAAUAUGAGCCCUGGGCCUGGGAAUGUAGUCGGUAGGCCCAGGUCUGUAAUUCCUGGGAGGUACAGUCAGAGGGGUCAGAAGUUCAAGGUCAUCUUUGGUUAUAGGGGGAAUCUGAAGCCAGCUUUUGAUAAGAUGAGCAAGACACCUUCUCAUCCAAACCAAAUUACACACACACACACACACACACACACACACACACACCCUUUCCCAGAAGUGCAAACACUGUGGAAUAUCAGUGCCAUAAUUCCUUGCACUGAUAGAGUUCCUUCCACCAAGGCUGACAACACUUAAGUAAAUGAAGACGUAUUUUAUAUUGGAUCUGAUGGUACAAGUUCAAAACUAUGUCAUUUUAAAAAGUUACUCAACAAACUUGACGCCAACUUGACAUAAGAACAUGCUAACACUAAAAGCAUCAAGGAAAGAUCCCCAGGGCUGGCGAGAAGCUCAGAGGUUCAGCUCACUGAAUGCUAGGCUCUAGCAGAGGUCCCGAGUUCUUCUCCCAGCGCCCACAUGGAGGCUUGCAGCCAUCUGUAAUGCCGUUUCCAUGGACUUGGAUGUCUCCUUGUGGCUUCCUCUGUCACUAGGUAUUGUGGCGGUGCACAGAUGUGCAAACAAACACUCAUACAUGUAAACAAAACAAAAUGAAACCACCUCGUAGCAAAUCUUACCAGAUUUGGAUCUCAGUGACAUGCAUAUUUAAUUGACAAGCACGACAAAGCUCAAGAAGCUGUGUGUGUGUGUGUGUGUGUGUGUGUGUGUGGUGGGGGCAGGGUUGGGCUGGAAAGAUGGCUCAGUAGUUAAGAGCACUGUUGUUCUCCCAGAGGACUUGGAUUUUGAUUUCCAGCACCCACACGUUUGGCUCACAACUGUCUGAAACUACAGUUCCAGGGGACCAGACACCCUCGUCUGACCUCUGAAGGCUCUUGUAAGCAUAUGGUGCACAGACACACAAAGUGGUGAGUUUUUAGUGUCUUAGUUGUUUCUAUUACUGUGAUAAAAUACUCUGAUAUAAGCAACAUAAGUGAGAAAAGGAUGAUUGUAGCUCACAGUCUAAGGUUCAGUCCAUUAAGGCAGGAAGUCCGCGACAGCAGGAACUUGAAGCAGCUGGUCGUAUGCAUGCAUUUGUACCAAUCCUCGGCUCUGUUCUCUGCGCAGUCCAGGCUCCCCUACCCAGACAAUGCUCCUACCCACAUUUAAGGCCAGUCUUCUCACAUCAGUUAAAGUAGUCCAGAGAAUGCCCCCAUGUAUAACGAGAGGCUCAUACCCCAGGUGUUUCUAGAUUCUGUCAGGGUGAAGUAAAGUUAGCACUGAUCAUCACAUGUCGCAAACAUUUUACUUUAUUAAACAUUAGUGUUCUAGGUAAAUUAAUAUAAAGUCUCAUUUAAAUGUCAUCUAAAUAUAUUUACGAUAUAUAAAAAUACGUGUAAUAAAGUUUAAGGGAGGAUCCAGAGAGUGUGCAGGCUCAAUUUUUAGAUUUAUAGAUGAAUUAUCACUUCAUCCCCCAACAUUCUGCAUUGGAGUACAGCCAGAAGCAUAGCUCCUCUUCAUCUUCUUCCUCUUCCCUCUCCCCUCCCCCCUCCUUCCUCUUCCUCCUCAGAUUUUAUAGGCAGGGUUUCUCUGUGUAGCGCUGGCUGUCCUAGAACUUGCUUUGUAGAUAGUCUCAAACUCAAGCCCAGGAUCCACCUGCCUCUGCCUUCAGAGUGCUUGGAGUCCAGGCGUGAGUCACCAUGCUUGGCUCAGCAUCCUUUCUUGAGGAGUCUGUCUAUGACCCAUUCUACUGCUGGUUUUUAUAUUCAAUUUCAUGUAUGAGCAUGUGUUUCUCAGCCUUCUGGUUUACUUCAUUUGUCUUUUCCUGUCUCCCUUCUAUUCUAAAUGUCAGAAACGGCAGGAUAAAUGUCUCUGCUAUAUUCUUCACUAAAGAUCAGAUUCAGCUCAUGCAUGUCUGACAAUUGUGGUAUGCCAGAGCAUUUUAGGUGCUGGGAAGAUAGCACUAAGUCAGAGACAUAGUUUCAGAGCUUACACACAUAGAGUUUAUUGAAUCAGUGUUUUAAACACUAUGUGGGAUCAUAAAGUAAAAUUAACAUUUUGACAAUUCAUGAACAUAAAAUAUUUUUAUAGCAUUAUGUAUUACAUUUUUCCUUUUUUGGCCACUUGAGAAGAAGAUACAUAGUAGAUAGCCAUAUUACAGCAAGGAACAUACAAGCAUUGAGUGAAGUACAGUCCAGUUUUAGCUAAUGGGCUUUUGUUUUGUUUUUUGUUUGUUUUCCCUGUUUUUUUGAGACAGGGUUUCUCUGUGUAGCCUUGGCUGUCCUGGAACUCACUCUGUAGACCAGGCUGGCUUUGAACUCAGAAAUCUCUGCCUCUGCCUCUCAAGUGCUCUAAGUGUGUGCUUUUAUCAGUCUGAUACUCCUUGCUGGGUUCAGGAGGACCCCUAAGACAUUUCCAGAUCUUUACUCUUUUUCCCUAUGCAAGGGUGAGCUCACAUCGGAGGCAGGGCUGUGUGUGUCUCUCUCUCUCUGUGUGUGUGUGUGUGUGUGUGUGUGUGUGUGUGU